rnacentral:miRNA from 1 species
CAGGCGGCGGCGGCGGCGG